rnacentral:lncRNA from 1 species
AUUAGUAUUACAAGUUUGUGAAAGAAAAUUAAAAAUAAAGGAAAAGAAUUUUAGGUGAAUGAGCUUUCAAUUUCCGGAUUAAAAAUUUAUUCGAAUCUUCUUCUUUUAUUUACCAUUGCCUACGGAAAGUGGAGGGACAUGCAAGAUGAAACUGCGUUGAAGGACUGAGCCAUGGAAGAAAUUGAGAGAGAGAGCUCGAGGAAAGAGAGUAAGAAGCUUGAUUAUGGAGAAGAAAUUGAAAGGGGGAAGAAAAAGAGCGUUCGUUGAGUGUAAAUCGAAAGAAAGGAAGAAGGUUAUUAAGGGAGAAACUAAUUUUGGCAAUAAAAAAAAAAGCGAAAAUUAGGUUUUGAGGAAGAUGAACGGAGAGAGAGG